AGUGAACGCUGGCGGUAGGCCUAACACAUGCAAGUCGAACGGCAGCACAGUAAGAGCUUGCUCUUACGGGUGGCGAGUGGCGGACGGGUGAGGAAUACAUCGGAAUCUACUUUUUCGUGGGGGAUAACGUAGGGAAACUUACGCUAAUACCGCAUACGACCUACGGGUGAAAGCAGGGGAUCUUCGGACCUUUCGCGAUUGAAUGAGCCGAUGUCGGAUUAGCUAGUUGGCGGGGUAAAGGCCCACCAGGGCGACGAUCCGUAGCUGGUCUGAGAGGAUGAUCAGCCAACCUGGAAAUGGGACACGGGCCAGACUCCUACGGGAGGCAGCAGUGGGGAAUAUUGGACAAUGGGCGCAAGCCUGAUCCAGCCAUACCGCGUGGGUGAAGAAGGCCUUCGGGUUGUAAAGCCCUUUUGUUGGGAAAGAAAAGCAGCAGGUUAAUACCCCGCUGUUCUGACGGUAACCAAAGAAUAAGCACCGGCUAACUUCGUGC
rnacentral:rRNA from 1 species